AUUUGUGAAGUUUGCUCUGCCUCCAGGAUAAUAUCCUCAUAGGGAAGAAAGGCAGGAUGGCACACUGAGAGAAAUAUCUGCUUUUUAGACGUGGUCUAAUGGUGCUUUUUUCUCCCUUCCUUUUCUGGCCCCAAGGAGCAGAAGGGCUGAAUGUGAUGGUGAAGACCCAUCUCUGGUUUCUGGCUCUAUCUGAAAAGAAGAGAUUCACAUUUCACUCUCUCAUCCUAGAAACAAACCUUGCAUCCCGGAAGGAAAAUGAAUGCCAUUGGGAUUCAUACAUAACCAGUGAAGCUAUGAAAGCUCAACACGGAGCCGAGGCAAAGGAUUGCUGCAGCAGAACACUCCAGAUAGCACUGUGGGAUGAAGGGCUUUGCUGCCCACUGCUCCAAGGUGCCCGACCAGCUGCUGGGACAGCCAGGAAGAGAGCCUGCAAGGUGGCCAUUGCUGUGCAGUAGAAGAUUGUCAACCAUUGUUACUGUGGAAACCUUUGAAAAUAUGCUCCAUGAUAAAUUGGAUCUAGUGGCACCAAGGAAUCCCGAGCCUUCACGUGAUGUCUGCAGUUUGGACAGGAAAGGAAGUGAGAUAUAACACCUGCAAGGUGCUGUGACGCUCAGCAGUGGUUGUCAGUGCUGUUAGAAAUGUGCCAUGAAGCUCAAGCAAAGGGCAAGGAGUGAACAGCAAGCUUAUUCUGAUGGAUGGAGGAAAUUUGAAUCUGAACUUCAAAUGAAUGCUCCUUGCGUCCCUGCUUCCUCCUGGACUCAUGCAGAGAAGCCACUCCCUUGUCCCUUUUGAGGGUCGCAAAUAGCACCCACAGCCCAGCCAUCUUUAGCAUCAAAUGGUAGGGACAGACUUUAAGGAAGCAGUGGGUGUUUGCAAGAGCUGAUGGCCUCAUCCCAAAAUCUCUGCGGAGCUGAUGCACAGGUUUCUCGGUACGUGGUGAGGCUUCUCGUUGCAGAUCAUGUGGUUUGGACACUGAGGUUAAAGCUACAGUAUGUGUUUUGGAGAGUCUGGUAAGGAAAUAAGUCUGGCAGAUGCCACUGGUGCCAAACAUCAACAAUGGUUUUGCUGUUCUCACUUUUACUUUUUUCUGUUGCCUCCUGUUGUGCCUAUGAAGACACAAGCGAAUCACCACAACCACUGUGGUCUUCAUAGGCAGGGAAAUCGAAUUUGAUGAGACUGUUCCAUGUAAUGUUUAACUAAGUAUAUUUUCUGCCCUCAGUUCAAGGAUGUUGACAUGGUUGACUUCAGCACCAUUUGGUUGAUCAGGACUCACACUGCCCUCCAGCUCCGUGUGCCUCAUCCAGGACAGAGCUGUGUUUCUGUGGUCACAUUCAAACAUACUCCAUCUUGUGACCCACCAAUACUUCCUCUGCAGAGUUAAAUAAGAGGCGAGGUCUCGGGUCGUGUUAUGACCGAUAGUUGGCUCACAUUAUUUGGUCACCACUGAAUGAAUGAUUUCUUUCUCCCUUACCUUUUGCCAACGUCAGUGGUGUUCUACCUUUCCUCUUUCUAUGCUAAAUAAUGCAAAGUGGUGUGAAAGAGGGGGACGGCGCUGAAGCAUCAUGCUCCAAGCCAUUUAAUUCGUCCCAUUAACAGGUGUUGUGUUGACUUGAAUUUAUUUGCCUCAAGAAAAAUGUUGAAAUGGAGUUCUUAAGUAGGACCGCACGUUGUGAAAUGUCAAAAAAUGCACCGUGUUUCUUUACUAAGAAUGGUGCAGUCUCCUAUGAGAAACCCCAUGGAUAAGCCAUCCAAGGGCCGAGGCAAUGAGUGCCCGAUAGGCAGUUUUUGUAAGUGGAACUUCUUUCAAAACUGCAGAGCAAAGAGAAAACCGUAUUUCUAAGACUUCAGUUGCUGCCUCCCGAGCUGAUGCACCCUGUCAGAUUGGAUCUCUCAUGUCACGUUACAAUCUGACUUCAGAUGUCACAGCCCAACAAAUCAGCCACAAAUCUGCCAGUUUGGUCUUCACGAGAGUGAUUUGAAGAACGAGCUUACGAGGAGAGCUUUUAUUUUUGGAUCCACUUCCCACCAAAUACUUCAGGCCAGAUACAUCUUCUAAAAGCUGUCCUAGAUGAAUACAUGCAUGGUGUGUGCACACCUGCAGCAUGUAAGGCUGUGUUGAGUACAUGGAUAAUGUUAGAUAUCUUUGUGGUCUUGUUUGGCUGCUGCUGUGAUUUACCUCUGUGCCAGCUGUGGGAUGCUGCCCCACUGAGUCCCAUACAGUGGCCAUGCUUAUACCUGUGGGACAUGCACCAUGAAAAUGACUGUGGGGUGCAAGCAUGCAGGCAUUUCUAUUGGGUUUUUGUCAGUUUGUUAGCUAUUAUGUCAUUUAUUUGUUUAAACAAAAGCAAAUAGAAGAAGACUGUGUCUUCAGUGUGGGUGAACUCAGCUCUCUCAGUGUAGGGGGCUGCCUGCCAUCCCUGAGAGCUGCCCCAAGAUCCUCUCGGAGCUGCACUGCCUGCUGCUUUGGUAGAUAGGGCAUGUGGGAAACUUUCUGCUGAAGAAAAAUGCUGAUGUAGUGAGAGCAGUGAGUCUUGCUGGGAGCAUCCCUCUGCUCUCAGCUGGGGGAUGUGUUGGCUUUCUCUCCACGGAAAGGCCCCUGAUAGUACUGGAAGGCAGCAGUGCCAUUUAGGCUCAGUGGUUGUCUGGGCUCUGCUGUUGAGUGACACAGCACUUCUCUCUCCUUUGGCUACAUUAACCAUUUGCAUUGCAUGAAACAAAAAAAGUUGUAUUGGAAUGACAGUGCAGGUUUGUGCUGCCAUUGGGAUUUGGGUCCUUACAGAUGCUAAAAUAGCGAUUCUAUGCUACGUGUGUGUGCGUAUACUAGAUGAAUUCCCCAUUAUUUAUCUUCUUAUUUAAAUGCUAACCACAAUUAAGGUUAGUUAGUUAGAACACUUAGUGGGUAUGCUGCUAUUCUAUGGACACAAAAGCACAAAUGGGAGAGCAAAAGAUCUUUCUAACAAAUCUAUCUUGCAACAAUAUCAUGUGCUGGUUAUAAUUCCCCUCCUCGUUGUACUUCCAUUAUGUUAUCCAGUGUACUUUUCCUGCCAGACUUAGAUGACAGGUCUGGCAGGAUAGCUCCAUCCCUGGAGGUGUUCAAGGCCAGGUUGGAUGGGGCCCUGGGGAGCCUGGGCUGCUAUUGGAUAUGGAGGUUGGUGGCCUAUCUGUGGUGGCGGGAGGGUUGGAGCUUCAUGAUCCUUGAUGUCUCUUCCAACCGAAGCUGUUCUAUGGCUGUAACACAGCCCCAGGAAGAGAGAGGGGAAUGGUGCAGGGUUGCUGCAGAGGGCAGUGGCCAAGGUGGUGCCACUUGCUCCCUCACAUCUGGGUGAUGCAACUUGGAGUCUGGCUCAUCACUUCUGGUCAAAUGAGGAAGUCUAAUUUCACGCCUGGGAAUGAUGGGCAUGCAAAUAAUUAGCACAGCAUUUAUGCAGGAUGAGUUUUCAGAGCAGUGCUGACUGUGGGUCUCUGCUGCCCCACUUCUGUCAUCGACGAUCAGACCCUUGCAAAGGUGAAAACGUCAUUAAAAAACUCUUUCUCUAUAUACUUCCUUCUUAUGGCUGUCCCCAAGACAAGUCCAUAAUGUGUUCUCAUUAUGUCGCAAGGCCAGAGAUCAGAGCCUGUAUGGAUAAUAAAAAUAUAUCCUCUUUGUCAAGCACCAGUAUCUGUCUUAACAGCAGAAACUGUGCUGGUGGAAAGUAACAUUUUUUGCAACCCGCUUCCUGCACAGUUAAUUAACCUUCCAAACCAGAGUCUCGUGUUGUUUGUUGGGCAGAAAUAGUCUUUUAGGACUACAAUUUAAUUAACAUGACUGAAGGGAGGUGCUGGGGGAGAGAGAUGUUUGCACAGCGUUGUCUGACCGGCUCUGGGCACGUGGAGUUUACCUGGAGUAAAUGAUUGUGUUUGGCACCUGCUCAGUGCCAUGCUUCACCUGCUGUUCUUCCAG
ensembl:lncRNA